rnacentral:rRNA from 1 species
UACGGAGGGGACUAGCGUUGUUCGGAAUUACUGGGCGUAAAGCGCACGUAGGCGGAUUUGUAAGUCAGGGGUGAAAUCCCGGGGCUCAACCUCGGAACUGCCUUUGAUACUGCAAAUCUCGAGUCCGGAAGAGGUGAGUGGAACUGCGAGUGUAGAGGUGAAAUUCGUAGAUAUUCGCAAGAACACCAGUGGCGGAAGGCGGCUCACUGGCCCGAUACUGACGCUGAGGUGCGAAAGCGUGGGGAGCAACAGG